rnacentral:piRNA from 1 species
GCGGUGAUGGGGUGGCCAUAAGAAGGA